CAUUGAGAAAGCUGAAACACAGCCAAACUUAACCAUCGGUGUGCUCAUUGCAAUCGUGGUUGUCUUCCUCACCCUCUUCUUCAAGCUUAUAUUUGGUGGUGCAAAGGUGAAUGUGGAAAAGAAGAAACCUGAAACAGCAACAGAGGCCUCAUCGAGCGAGUCAAAGACAGAGGAGAAGGAAGAAACGGCGGCUGUGCCACGUAGGAGGCCGACAAGGCGUGAUAGUUAGAGAAAGAUUUUGAUUUUUGGGUUCUUUGUUUGGUUGAACACCUUAUAUUAGACAGUAGGAAAACAAGAUUGUAACAUGCUUAUUUUUUUUUAUUUUUCUUUGUAUGCUUUUUUAGUUUCUCACUUGAAUCUGAAGAUCAACAUGUGGGUUGAAGAUCACAGACCGACAAUGUCACCUGGCCGUGUUAAAAACUCGAAGUUGAUGCUAA